rnacentral:sRNA from 1 species
CUAUAGCCCUGCUGUGAUGAAUUACAGCAUUCCCAGCAAUGUCACUAACUUGGAAGGUGGGCCUGGUCGGCAGACCACAAGCCCAAAUGUGUUGUGGCCAACACCUGGGCACCUUUCUCCUUUAGCGGUCCAUCGCCAGUUAUCACAUCUGUAUGCGGAACCUCAAAAGAGUCCCUGGUGUGAAGCAAGAUCGCUAGAACACACCUUACCUGUAAACAGGACAUAAUGAUUAUAUUUGUCCAGCUACAAAUCAGUGUACAAUCGAUAAAAACCGGCGCAAGAGCUGCCAGGCCUGCCGACUUCGGAAGUGUUACGAAGUGGGAAUGGUGAAGUGUGGCUCCCGGAGAGAGAGAUGUGGGUACCGCCUUGUGCGGAGACAGAGAAGUGCCGACGAGCAGCUGCACUGUGCCGGCAAGGCCAAGAGAAGUGGCGGCCACGCGCCCCGAGUGCGGGAGCUGCUGCUGGACGCCCUGAGCCCCGAGCAGCUAGUGCUCACCCUCCUGGAGGCUGAGCCGCCCCAUGUGCUGAUCAGCCGCCCCAGUGCGCCCUUCACCGAGGCCUCCAUGAUGAUGUCCCUGACCAAGUUGGCCGACAAGGAGUUGGUACACAUGAUCAGCUGGGCCAAGAAGAUUCCCGGGAGCUGAGGAGGAGGGGUGGGGGUGUCUCACCGCCUCUUGCUUUCCCCAGGCUUUGUGGAGCUCAGCCUGUUCGACCAAGUGCGGCUCUUGGAGAGCUGUUGGAUGGAGGUGUUAAUGGUGGGGCUGAUGUGGCGCUCAAUUGACCACCCCGGCAAGCUCAUCUUUGCUCCAGAUCUUGUUCUGGACAGGGAUGAGGGGAAAUGCGUAGAAGGAAUUCUGGAAAUCUUUGACAUGCUCCUGGCAACUACUUCAAGGUUUCGAGAGUUAAAACUCCAACACAAAGAAUAUCUCUGUGUCAAGGCCAUGAUCCUGCUCAAUUCCAGUAUGUACCCUCUGGUCACAGCGACCCAGGAUGCUGACAGCAGCCGGAAGCUGGCCCACUUGCUGAACGCCGUGACCGAUGCUUUGGUUUGGGUGAUUGCCAAGAGCGGCAUCUCCUCCCAGCAGCAAUCCAUGCGCCUGGCUAACCUCCUGAUGCUCCUGUCCCACGUCAGGCAUGCGAGUAACAAGGGCAUGGAACAUCUGCUCAACAUGAAGUGCAAAAAUGUGGUCCCAGUGUAUGACCUGCUGCUGGAGAUGCUGAAUGCCCACGUGCUUCGCGGGUGCAAGUCCUCCAUCACGGGGUCCGAGUGCAGCCCGGCAGAGGACAGUAAAAGCAAAGAGGGCUCCCAGAACCCACAGUCUCAGUGACGCCUGGCCCUGAGGUGAACUGGCCCACAGAGGUCACAGGCUGAAGCGUGAACUCCAGUGUGUCGGGAGCCUGGGCUUCAUCUUUCUGCUGUGUGGUCCCUCAUUUGG